UCAAAGCAUGGUCGUCAGGAAAAUGGGAUGGUUGCCAAAAUGUCAGUCUGUGAUGGGUGCCAUAUUGCAUUGUUCUUUGAGUGCUGGAAUACAGCUUGGGAUUCUUCAAGGGUUGUUAUCAUGGUAUAAACUGUACUGUACAGCUGCUGAACGUCUUAACCAUUUGGAUUCAUACAUAACUUAAUGCGCUCCUGGAAGAAGUGGAAGAGCCUCUUGCUGAAACUUGAGGAUAUUGUGGAAGAUGCUGCUGAGACCCAUUUGGAUUACAUCACCAAAUAUGACAUCAAGGUCCUGCAGCUGAUGAAAGGAGUUCAUCACAUCUUUUUGUUAUGUGGAUGCUGAAGCAUUAUCCUGAGACAGCAGCAAUGAUUGAUGAACACAUUUCAGGCUUGAGUCACAGAGCAGCAUAAAGAUUUACACAUCUGAAGUAGGAGGGUGAAUGGGAUUGAAGUAUUUACAGGGAGGAUUCUGAACUCCCCUCCUUCCUGCUCCAGGAAACACAGGAGAUGCAGACGGAUCACUUUACCAGCUGUCAAGGCAAAUGUUGCAGUAUAGUCCUUGCUCUCAGCAACGUUCUCAGUGUCCUGGUGAUGGGGUGCCUUGGAAGGACUGCGCAGAACAAGCUUUGUACUACCUCUGCACUUCAGGUUCUCUGUGCUGCAUAAAGCUGCACCGUUCGGAAGAAGCGAGAUUGUCUUUCCGUACAGCUACAAUGCUGCACCGCUCUCAACACAGCCUGCUUUUCCCCCAUUUACCUGGGCGGCUGCUGCUGUUUCGGCUGCUGCUGGGGCUGCUGCAGUCUCACUGCCUGUGCUUCACCCCGGCUUGGCUGACUCGAAACUCACUCGUCUGCACAUUGCUAAGGAAGAAGAACGAUGGAGCCGCAUUUUUUCUGGUUCUGGAAGCAAAGGGUUGCGAUUUGUGAUGA